rnacentral:rRNA from 1 species
UACGUAGGGAGCAAGCGUUGUCCGGAAUCAUUGGGCGUAAAGCGCGCGUAGGUGGCCCGAUAAGUCCGCUCUGAAAGUCACAGGCUCAACCUGUGAAAGCGGGUGGAUACUGUCGGGCUAGAGUCCGGAAGAGGCGAGUGGAAUUCCUGGUGUAGCGGUGGAAUGCGCAGAUAUCAGGAGGAACACCAAUGGCGAAGGCAGCUCGCUGGGACGUGACUGACGCUGAGACGCGAAAGCGUGGGGAGCAAACAGG